ensembl:lncRNA
AGCCUCCGCCCCGCCCCACGCCGCCUCCGUCNNNNNNNNNNNNNNNNNNNNNNNNNNNNNNNNNNNNNNNNNNNNNNNNNNGUGCAGGAAGCUGUGCCCGCUGCCCCGCGGCGGGGCCGCCGCGCUGCCCGUCAACACCACCCUGGCCGAGGUGGUCAAGCUCUACCGGUCUGGCACGGCAGGGGCUGCCAAGGCGGGGGAGGCAGAGCAGGCCCAGGGGACUGGCCUGUUCUCCCCGCUGGUGCUCGGAGGAACCUGCCAGAAGCAUCCGAGCCGGCUGGUGCAGCUCUACUGCCGCAUGUGCCGGCAGGCUGGCUGCGGGCAGUGCGUCUCCGAGGACCACCAAGGCAUCUUCCACUCAGUCAACCUCAUAGACACGGUGUACCAGGAGGAAAAAUUAACCUUCUUCAGCAGUUUGAAAAAAAUGAGAAUAAUAAAUGAGAAGCUGAUGAAUGAAAUCUCAAGUCAACCGAAUGAUACGGAAAUGUUGCUGAGCAGUGAUGCAGAGAUAAUUGCACUGGAAUUUGGAGAAAUUUUCAAAACUCUGGAAAUGAAGAAACAGCAAUUGCUAGAAGACGUUGAAAAUCAAAGAAGUAAGAAAGAGAAAGAAUUUCAGAUUUGGAAGAAAAUGAAGGAGACGCACAAGAAGACCAUUGAGAAUUUUUUGAAGGAUUGUGAAAAGCUUGUCCAUGAGUGUGAUCCUCAGCGUUUCCUGGAGGUGGCCUGUGGCUUGAAUACAAGAAUGAAAACUCAGCUUGACCUGAUGAAUAUAGCAUCCAGCUACGAAAAACCACCAGAGUAUACCCAAAAGAAGAUGGAUAUCAAACCUGUGGUUAAUGAAAUCUUGGCUUUGAAGUUAAUGCCUGUUAAUGUAGGCAUUGUUAAAGAUCUACCAUCUGGAGGAAAUGAGAACUCAGCAAAAAAUACUCUAUUUAAAAAUAACAUAAAGGAAUGGCAGGACCAGAGGCAUAUACCCAACGUAUUUCUUCCUGUAGCAGGACAGGAGGAAGCACUAGCAGAUGGUAGCAGGAUUUCUACUCGCUUAAUGUCAAUAUCAGAAAUGUCAGCAUUUCAAAACAUGAGUCAUGAGGAGUUACGUUACAAAUACUAUAUGGAACGUCAGAAGUUCACCGAUCAUUUCAAGACAAAAACUUUACCUGCAAAUAAAAAGUAUAAACUUGUAACUGCUGAGGCUUUGAAGGGUAGGUCCUCAGGAACUCUUUUUGUAUCUUCACCUACUAAAGCAAAUAACUCAAAUAAAAUAAAAAUGGGAACCCUGCAUAGAGCAGAUGGCUCUGAGAGAAGCUUUUCUGGAACCAGUAAUCACAGUAUCCCAUCCACAAAUGUGAACUUCUCUGAAACAAAUGAUGACUUAAGAUUACUUCAUGAGAGAAGUUCCCAGGAAGUAACUACUCCAGCCUUAUCAGAAAACUCUAAAGAUUUAGUAGUUAAAGAAAAAUUGCCAAUGCAGUCAUCAGCAGUUACUGUUUCCAGUGAAAUGGAUGCAAAUUCUACUACAACUGGCUUAAAACCAGCAACAUCAGUAGCUGUUACUGUUUCAAAUUCAGAAUUUCUAGAUGUUUCUGCAGAGAGACUUUCUGCUUCACCUUUUGCUUUCAGUGCAUGUAACAACUCAUUACCCAGAUUUAUUAAAGGUACAGGUACAUUUUCCUUUAAAAAGAAAGACAGGAAAUAUGUUUUCCCUCAGUUUUAUCUAGGAAAAUGUGAUCACGCAGAUAAAACCGAUGACCAGGAUGAAAGCAAAUUUAGAAAACAUGGUCCUCUAAUCAAAGCCACAGUUUCUGAUGCUUCAACCAGUCCUAAUUUAGACUCAGCAGAAAGCAAGAAGCCAGAUUUUUUGUUUCCCUUUAGCAAUUCAGAAAGAGAUUGUUGUAUAGGAUCUGGAGUCAGCAAUUCAUUUAAGGUUUUGCCAUUAUCCUCACUUUUUAGCCAAUCUGAGAAGCCAUCUGACAAAAACACAUCAUUUCCCAUGAGAGAAAAAACACUUUUUGCAACGGAAGCUGCAGAAUAUGGUAUGCAGAAACCAGCUGUCUCAUGGGAACAAAAAGCUAAUGCCUCAGAAUCCAUCACAACUGUAGCUUGCAGUACUUCGGAAACCAGCACUGCACCUGGAGUGAAUGGUGUCUCUGAGUCCCCCCUUCUCCCCACUAACUGUGUAUUUUCCUUCAAAAAUACCAGUUUUCAGUUGCCUUCACCAGUGUUUUCCUUUGGAAAUAUUGUCAGAAAUACCUCUGAUUUGCUGACUUCCUCAGUGGUUUUGUCUGGAAAUGGUAUUGAAAAAACAGAAAAAGAGAAGAUGAAAUCUUCAAACAAAACACCUCUAAAUCUAGGGAAGCCUGUAUCUUCAGAGCUUACAGAGCCUGUUUCUAGACACAGUAAUCCAAAAUGUGAAGGUUCAUUCUUUCCUAUGAACUCAUCUAAGAAAACUGAAAGUGCGGAAAUGCUUGCCGAUAGUAAUUCUUGUAGUCAGCCUCUAUGCUCAGUUGUCCUUCCUGUUAAAUACGAGAAUGCAUCUUCCACUCAAGUUAUUGCAGCAACAAAACAAGAAACAAAGGUAAAAGAUGAAGAAAGUGAAGCUGUUGCUGAAAACAACUGUUCCUGUUCUAGGAAGGAAGGUGAACCUGAGUCUGUAGAGCUUCAGAAUGCAGCUUGUUCUGUUCCUGGCACAUGCAACGAUCCAUCAUUAGGAGGUUCUGUGCUUACGGUAGAUGAGGCAGGAGGAAUGCCAAGUGAUAGCGAUUCUGACACUGAAGAGCUAAGUCAAACAUCCAUCUCUACUGAUACCAGCAGUGCAUCAGAAUAUUUUUCUGUUGCCGAAGACAAAAUAUCUACUAGGAGAAAAUCAGAGACAUGAAAAGAAAGUUAAAUGGAAGAUAACGAUACUUAAAUAAUCUGGAAUUAAAUAAAUGCUACUUAACACAUUAAAAAGUGGGAUAC